GAGUGUUGUGGCAGCUCCUCCCUCCAGCCCGUCUCUGCGCCUCCUAGUCCUCCUCCGCUGUGGGAUUAUAAAGAGCAGGGCAGGAGCAGGGGAGUGCACCACAGUCGCUCUCUCCUCCUCUCUUCAUCUCCUGGUUCUCCUCUCCUACAGCACCUACGAUGGGCAACGUAACUACCAUCGACAAUACCAGGCGAGACACUUCCACAUAUACCAAUAUAAUAAUUGAUGAUAAUAUCCGCAUCAACCAUACUAUCUCCUUCAGUGCCAGUAGCCCCUUUAUUGGCGGUGGCGGAGGCAGCGGAGGAGGAGUUGGCUUCGACGUCUGCGCCAAUGAGAAGGCCACCAUGCAGAAUCUGAAUGACCGCCUGGCCACCUACCUGGAAGAUGUGUGGUCCCUGGAGAACGGCAACGCCGAGCUGGAGCUGAGGAUUCGACAAUUCCUGGAGAACAAAACCUCUCCCGGAUCCCGAGACUACUCCGCCUUCUUCGUCUCCAUCGCAGACCUGCACAACAAGAUCCAUGGCGCCAUGUGUGUCGACGGAAGCAUCUACCUGGCCAACGACAACGCCAAGCUGGCGGCAGACGACUUCAAGUCAAAGAGGGAGAACGAGCUGAGCAUGCGGCAGUCGGUGGAGGCGGACUUCGCCGGACUCAAGAGGGUGCUGGACGUGCUGGCCAGGUCUGACCUGGAGAUGCAGAUUGAAGGGCUGAAGGAGGAGCUGAUCUUCCUGAAGAAGAACCAUGAGGAGGAGAUGCUCGGCCAGCGGCAGCAGAUGACAGGCCAGGUGAACGUGGAGGUGGACGCGGGGCCGACGCAGGACCUGAACGCCGUCCUGUCAGAAAUCCGCGAGCAGUACGAACAGGCAUCGGCCAACAACAAGAAGGAAUUGGACGCCUGGUUCCAAGAGAAGGCGGCGACGGUCAAACAGGAGGUCGCAGUGAGCACAGAAACCAACCUCAACCGCCUGCUGCAGUCCCUGCAGAGAGAGCUCCAAUCACAGCUCACCAUUAAAGGGUCACUCGAGGGCACCCUGCAGGAGACGGAGAACCAGGUGACCAGCCUGGAGGAGCAGCUGGUCAACCUGCAAGGCGACAUCGACCGCCAGGGCCAGGAGUACCAGAUGCUGCUGGACGCCAAGACGCGCCUGGAGAUGGAGAUCGCAGAGUACCGCAGACUGCUGGACGGGGGUGCCAGCACUGGCAGCAGCUCCAGCUCCAGCACCUAGACCACCUACCGCGUGGUCACAGAGGCUGAACCCACCAGUAAGGACAGCCCUCUCGACCGCAGGCAGAGCACCAGGAGAGGCCAACAUCUCCCCCCUACACACCCAGGAACCAGAGGCCAACACCUCCUCACUACACACCCAGGAACCAGAGGCCAACACCUCCCCCCUACACACCCAGGAACCAGAGGCCAACAGCUCCCCCUUACACACCCAGGAACCAGAGGCAAACACCUCCCCCCUACACACCCAGGAACCAGAGGCCAACACCUCCCCCCUACACACCCAGGAACCAGAGGCCAACAGCUCCCCCCUACACACCCAGGAACCAGAGGCCAACACCUCCCCCCUACACACCCAGGAACCAGAGGCCAACACCUCCAAACUAAACAUCCAGGGACUCCCCUCUCCUACACACCCAGGAAUCAAAGACCCAGAGCUGUUGUGUCGUGCCCGCUGUGUUUGGAUCCAAUCAAAAUAAUAAAGAGUCCUCUACCUUGCUGACUAAAA